UCCUAGCCCCGAUGGAAACGGCAUCCUUUUUUUUGCGUGGGCUUGAAAAAUAGCGUUGGCGAAAAAAGAUACAGUGGACAGCGGGAAAUUGC
rnacentral:sRNA from 1 species